ACGGGUGAGUAACGCGUAAAGAACUUGCCUCACAGAUAGGGACAACAUUUGGAAACGAAUGCUAAUACCUGAUAUUAUGAUNNUUUAGGGCAUCCUAGAAUUAUGAAAGCUAUAUGCGCUGUGAGAGAGCUUUGCGUCCCAUUAGCUAGUUGGAGAGGUAACGGCUCACCAAGGCGAUGAUGGGUAGCCGGCCUGAGAGGGUGAUCGGCCACAAGGGGACUGAGACACGGCCCUUACUCCUACGGGAGGCAGCAGUGGGGAAUAUUGGACAAUGGACCAAGAGUCUGAUCCAGCAAUUCUGUGUGCACGAUGAAGUUUUUCGGAAUGUAAAGUGCUUUCAGUUGGGAAGAAAAAAAUGACGGUACCAACAGAAGAAGUGACGGCUAAAUACGUGCCAGCAGCCGCGGUAAUACGUAUGUCACAAGCGUUAUCCGGAUUUAUUGGGCGUAAAGCGCGUCUAGGUGGUUAUGUAAGUCUGAUGUGAAAAUGGCAGGGCUCAACUCUGUAUUGC
rnacentral:rRNA from 1 species